UUUAUGGAGAGUUUGAUCCUGGCUCAGGAUGAACGCUGGCGGCGUGCCUAAUACAUGCAAGUCGAGCGAACGGACGAGAAGCUUGCUUCUCUGAUGUUAGCGGCGGACGGGUGAGUAACACGUGGAUAACCUACCUAUAAGACUGGGAUAACUUCGGGAAACCGGAGCUAAUACCGGAUAAUAUUUUGAACCGCAUGGUUCAAAAGUGAAAGACGGUCUUGCUGUCACUUAUAGAUGGAUCCGCGCUGCAUUAGCUAGUUGGUAAGGUAACGGCUUACCAAGGCAACGAUGCAUAGCCGACCUGAGAGGGUGAUCGGCCACACUGGAACUGAGACACGGUCCAGACUCCUACGGGAGGCAGCAGUAGGGAAUCUUCCGCAAUGGGCGAAAGCCUGACGGAGCAACGCCGCGUGAGUGAUGAAGGUCUUCGGAUCGUAAAACUCUGUUAUUAGGGAAGAACAUAUGUGUAAGUAACUGUGCACAUCUUGACGGUACCUAAUCAGAAAGCCACGGCUAACUACGUGCCAGCAGCCGCGGUAAUACGUAGGUGGCAAGCGUUAUCCGGAAUUAUUGGGCGUAAAGCGCGCGUAGGCGGUUUUUUAAGUCUGAUGUGAAAGCCCACGGCUCAACCGUGGAGGGUCAUUGGAAACUGGAAAACUUGAGUGCAGAAGAGGAAAGUGGAAUUCCAUGUGUAGCGGUGAAAUGCGCAGAGAUAUGGAGGAACACCAGUGGCGAAGGCGACUUUCUGGUCUGUAACUGACGCUGAUGUGCGAAAGCGUGGGGAUCAAACAGGAUUAGAUACCCUGGUAGUCCACGCCGUAAACGAUGAGUGCUAAGUGUUAGGGGUUUCCGCCCCUUAGUGCUGCAGCUAACGCAUUAAGCACUCCGCCUGGGGAGUACGACCGCAAGGUUGAAACUCAAAGGAAUUGACGGGGACCCGCACAAGCGGUGGAGCAUGUGGUUUAAUUCGAAGCAACGCGAAGAACCUUACCAAAUCUUGACAUCCUUUGACAACUCUAGAGAUAGAGCCUUCCCCUUCGGGGGACAAAGUGACAGGUGGUGCAUGGUUGUCGUCAGCUCGUGUCGUGAGAUGUUGGGUUAAGUCCCGCAACGAGCGCAACCCUUAAGCUUAGUUGCCAUCAUUAAGUUGGGCACUCUAAGUUGACUGCCGGUGACAAACCGGAGGAAGGUGGGGAUGACGUCAAAUCAUCAUGCCCCUUAUGAUUUGGGCUACACACGUGCUACAAUGGACAAUACAAAGGGCAGCGAAACCGCGAGGUCAAGCAAAUCCCAUAAAGUUGUUCUCAGUUCGGAUUGUAGUCUGCAACUCGACUACAUGAAGCUGGAAUCGCUAGUAAUCGUAGAUCAGCAUGCUACGGUGAAUACGUUCCCGGGUCUUGUACACACCGCCCGUCACACCACGAGAGUUUGUAACACCCGAAGCCGGUGGAGUAACCUUUUAGGAGCUAGCCGUCGAAGGUGGGACAAAUGAUUGGGGUGAAGUCGUAACAAGGUAGCCGUAUCGGAAGGUGCGGCUGGAUCACCUCCUUUCU
rnacentral:rRNA from 1 species